rnacentral:rRNA from 1 species
AACGUAGGACACAAGCGUUAUCCGGAAUUACUGGGCGUAAAGGGAGUGCAGGCGGUUGCGUAAGUUAGGCGUGAAAGACUUCGGCUAAACCGGGGGAGGUCGUCUGAUACUGCGUAACUAGAGUGUGGUAGAGGCGUGUAGAAUUCCGGGUGUAGUGGUGAAAUGCGUAGAUAUCCGGAGGAACACCAGUGGCGAAAGCGGCCACCUGGACUGCACCUGACGCUGACACGCGAAAGCUAGGGGAGCGAACGGG